rnacentral:rRNA from 1 species
UACGUAGGGUGCAAGCGUUAAUCGGAAUUACUGGGCGUAAAGCGUGCGCAGGCGGUUUUGUAAGUCUGUCGUGAAAUCCCCGGGCUCAACCCGGGAACUGCGUCCGAUACUGGAAGGCUUGAAUCCGGGAGAGGGAUGUGGAAUUCCAGGUGUAGCGGUGAAAUGCGUAGAGAUGUGGAGGAACACCGAUGGCGAAGGCAGCCUUCUGGGCCAACACUGACGCUCAUGCACGAAAGCGUGGGGAGCAAACAGG